AAGAUCCUGAAGUGUUCGUUUAGGUUUUAUAAUCAAACCUACAUUUGGUUCACGGGAUUUCGGGUUUCCAUCGCCUAUGUCAAGCCUCCUCGAGAGGAAGACAGAAGCAGGAAUAGAAAACCCACCUAUCUGAGGAUAGGUUGUGAAUUAAAAAACCUGACGACACAUUCGGGAUUUUU
rnacentral:other from 1 species